rnacentral:rRNA from 1 species
GAUGAACGCUGGCGGCGUGCCUAAUACAUGCAAGUCGAGCGAACAGAUGAGGAGCUUGCUCCUCUGACGUUAGCGGCGGACGGGUGAGUAACACGUGGAUAACCUACCUAUAAGACUGGGAUAACUUCGGGAAACCGGAGCUAAUACCGGAUAAUAUAUUGAACCGCAUGGUUCAAUAGUGAAAGACGGUUUUGCUGUCACUUAUAGAUGGAUCCGCGCCGCAUUAUCUAGUUGGUAAGGUAACGGCUUACCAAGGCGACGAUGCGUAGCCGACCUGAGAGGGUGAUCGGCCACACUGGAACUGAGACACGGUCCAGACUCCUACGGGAGGCAGCAGUAGGGAAUCUUCCGCAAUGGGCGAAAGCCUGACGGAGCAACGCCGCGUGAGUGAUGAAGGUCUUCGGAUCGUAAAACUCUGUUAUUAGGGAAGAACAAAUGUGUAAGUAACUAUGCACGUCUUGACGGUACCUAAUCAGAAAGCCACGGCUAACUACGUG